rnacentral:tRNA from 1 species
GGAAGGGAAACGCUCCGGGUGGAGCGCUCGGACCUCAAAUCCGGGUGAGGCAUUGAGAGGUUGUCUCAGGCGGGUUCAAAUUCCGCUCACUUCCACCA